rnacentral:misc_RNA from 1 species
ACUGGUUUUGAAUACCACGGCAAAUUAACAUACAUACAGACAUGUGGAGGAAAAUGCAUGACUUUAUAAAUACAAUUUGAGAGCGUUGGUUACCUGUUAGGCUAGAGUCUCCGGUGGAGUUUGAAAACUAGAAAAUUAGUAAUCGGCGACACGGAGGUAGGGAUUCUUUAUCCCAAGUUACAGGAUUGUGAGAUAAGCAGAGUUUUGUGCCGGAGAUAUGAAAGGUGAUAAGAAAGAAAAUGGGAACGGGCAUUAUUACUACAAAGAGCCGGGUAUGCGAGUUGGACACGAUUUCCAAGCGGCCAUCCCAGAGCUUGUUUCAGAGAAUAAAGAUGAGGCUAAACAUGACCCGAAUCUUAGACAUAAUGCACUUCUUGUUUGGGCUCCUGUGGAUGAAAUCCCUAAUGCAAAAUGUAAGUAAUCAUUAUUAUUAUUUAUUGUAUGACUUAUGUUUGUAGCCGAUAUAAUGCGCCCUCUGAUUGGCUAAUACUACAUGUAGGACAUUAUUCUCCUGUAAUGCCCAUGGGCAGAUUACGGACCAGCAAAAACCAAGCAAAAAGCCAUAUAAUAAUAAACCAUAC